AUACGGAGGAUGCGAGCGUUAUCCGGAUUUAUUGGGUUUAAAGGGUGCGCAGGCGGGCGAUUAAGUCAGCGGUGAAAGGCUCGGGCUCAACCGGAGCAGUGCCGUUGAUACUGGUUGUCUUGAAUGCGGUCAAGGCCGGCGGAAUGUGGCGUGUAGCGGUGAAAUGCAUAGAUAUGCCACAGAACACCGAUAGCGAAGGCAGCUGGCCGGGCCUGCAUUGACGCUCAGGCACGAAAGCGUGGGGAUCGAACAGGAUUAGAUACCCUGGUAGUCCACGCUGUAAACGAUGGACACUCGUUGUCGGCGACAGUCAGUCGGCGGCCAAGCGAAAGUGAUAAGUGUCCCACCUGGGGAGUACGGUCGCAAGGCUGAAACUCAAAUGAAUUGACGGGG
rnacentral:rRNA from 1 species